rnacentral:lncRNA from 1 species
AAAAGAAAAAAAAAAAAAAAAACUAAUAUGUAAUUGAAUUAACGCUUGGGAAGUUAGUAUUGAAGGUUCUGAGGCCGAGAAAAUGGUAGGUUCCUCCUAGAAUUUAAGCCAUAAAAUUUCUCCUCUUCAAGUUUCCCGCUUACCACAAAAAAUUCGAAAAUUCCCUCCCUAAAAUUCCCCCCAAAGUAAAAUUUAUCCAUCAAAAUAUCAAUUUCAUAGUCGUUUACACACCCACCGUGAAAACCCUAAAACUAGUUCGAGUGUUCGCAUAUAUCGUCAUCAUCAGAUUGCAUACACCUGAACACAAAUUAAGAGCUAAAGCAAGUGAAUUUGGUGAAGUUGCAUUUGCUCAUGGUAGCACUAGGAAGCUUUCUCAGGCUUGUAAAUCUCAAGAUGGAUAUGACGUUAGCGGAGAUCAUCGUUUAUUGUCUACUACCAUUCCAUUUUCUAAUGAUACGUUAUCAGGACCCAGGAACUUUUUGUUAGGGGUGCGGAUGAGGCGUUCAACCAUAUUUUCAAUGGUUCUCUAUGGUGUUGACAAGUUAGGGGACUCUAUAAAUCAGAAGUACUAGCUUACAGGUGGCUUUUUGUUACUGAACAAGAUAUUAAGGGCCUACCUUAAUUACAGGUUGAAUAUAGUGAGUUGGUUGAUGCGAUGAUAACAAGUAGUAAGUGCAGAGAACUAUGAAGUGGGAAAUAUGAUUGCUUAGAAAGGGUUAACACGACGAUUAUUUUACUUGCAAACAAGAUUGUGUAAGAGAUUCACGAAUGUAAUGAAGUUUUGAGUUUCUAUUCAAACAUUUAUUUACUAUUUGUUUUGUAUGUUUGGUAUUUAGACAUAGGUUGACGCUUAUUAGACUUUUGUUUGCGGACAUUGGAAUCUUUGGAAG